GUCGAGAAUCUUUCACAAUGGGGGCAACCCUGAUGGAGCGACGCCGCGUGGAGGAUAAGGUCUUCGGAUUGUAAACUCCUGUCAUGCGUGAACAAGGUUGCUUGGUUAAUACCUGGGCAAAUUGAUGGUAACGCAAGAGGAAGAGACGGCUAACUCUGUGCCAGCAGCCGCGGUAAUACAGAGGUCUCAAGCGUUGUUCGGAAUCACUGGGCGUAAAGGGUGCGUUGGAGGCGUGGUAAGUCAGAUGUGAAAGCCCGGGGCUCAACCUCGGAACUGCAUCCGGUACUGCCAUGCUAGAGUACUGGAGAGGUGACUAGAAUUCUCGGGGUAGCAGUGAAAUGCGGAGAUAUCGAGGGGAAUACCAAAGGCGUAGGCAGGUCACUGGACAGUUACUGACACUGAGGCACGAAGGCCAGGGGAGCGAACGGGAUUAGAAACCCUGGUAGUCC
rnacentral:rRNA from 1 species